UUCACCCUGUUUCUCUGCCUGGUUUCUGGGAGGGAAGAAGACAAACAGAAGAACGGAUCUGGGAGCAGGGAGCUCGAUCAUAAAUAGCAGAGCUGGCUGGAUACCAAGGCCUCACUUGGGUUGUCCUCUUGUUUUCCUCCUGGUUGGAUACAACCUGUUCUUAAAACAUGUUGCACCACAGGGUACUCUUUCUAAGACCUACAGCAAAGUGAGCAAACAGUUGUUUCUUCCAACCACCUGCUUCUCAUCUUCUCACAUUGUUUAAAGAGCAACUCACCAGAGCUGGCCCUCUAUCCACUGGGACAGAUAAUGUCGCACCUCGAUGGGGAAGUGCUGACCGUACAGAGACUGCAUCUGGUGCAGAGCAUCUCCCUGGAGCUGCUGGGCCUGGAUCCACACUGCCAUCUUCAACACCCUGAAGAAGUGAAGCCAGUAGUGAUCGGGUGGUGGAGCCGUGGUAUCGAGGUCACCCACCCGAACCAAUCGCGAACCGAGCACGGCCGCAGCUGGUCAUCGAGAGAGACUCACAGCUGUCAAUCCUGACGUCUCGCACCCUUUUUAUAGCAUCA